CUGGGUCGGAACGGAGCCAUCGCCGCUGGAGUAUUCGGGGCCCUUUUCAUCGGGUACUGCAUCUACUUCGACCGCAAAAGACUGAAGUGACCCCAACUUAAAGAAUAGGCGUCCAGAAUAAAGAAAGAAACAGAAGCUGGCCGAGGAGUGAGUUGAGCUUUCCAAGUUAGCUGACCUUAAAGAUGCUGAAGCUGUCCAGAAAUUCUUCCUGGAAGAGAUAUAGCUUUGGUGAAGAGAUCCUAGCUAAAGGUGUAGACCACCUGACAAAUCCAAGUGCUGUGUGUGGACAGCCACAGUGGUUACUGCAAGUGUUACAACAAACUCUUCCACUACCAGUGAUCCAGAUGCUUCUGACAAAGCCCCUACCAGUUAAUCAGAGACUUGUAAGUGCUGGCGCUUGGCCAAAGACGAUGUGGAAUGA
rnacentral:lncRNA from 1 species